UACAGAGGGUGCGAGCGUUGUCCGGAAUCACUGGGCGUAAAGGGCGCGUAGGCGGUUUUUCAAGCGUGCGGUGAAAGCUCAGGGCUCAACCCUGAGUCGGCCGUGCGAACUGGAAGACUGGAGCACGGUAGAGGCACAUGUAAUUCCGGGUGUAGCGGUGGAAUGCGUAGAGAUCCGGAAGAACACCGGUGGCGAAGGCGGUGUGCUGGGCCGUUGCUGACGCUGAGGCGCGACAGCGUGGGGAGCAAACAGG
rnacentral:rRNA from 1 species